GAAUAGGCAAUAGAAAUUCUUAUCUUGGCACAAUAGAUACAGUACCGUAAGGGAAAGAUGAAAGAACUGAGCAAAGACAAGCCCUUAUACCUUCUGCAUAAUGUAUUAAGUAGAAAUAACUUUACACAGAGAUAGCCAAGUCCCCCGAAACCAAACGAGCUAUGCAAGAAUGGCUGAAAGAGCGUACUCACCUACGUGGCAAAAUAGUGGGAAGAUUCAUGAGUAGUGGUGAUAAGCCUAUCAAGCCUGGUGAUAGCUGGUUGUCCAAGAUAGAAUCUUAGUUCAGCUUUAAACUUACCCACAGAAUUACUUAAUCUCCCUGUAAGUUUAACUGUUAAUCUAAAGAGGGACAGCUCUUUGGACCCUAGGAACCAACCUUCCUACAGAGAGUACAAAAUAACAUCGCCAUAGUUGGCCCAAAAGCAGCCAACAAUUAAGAAAGUGUUCAAGCUCAACAUCCAAGUAUCUUAAAUUCUAAUCACUCUACUGAACUCCUAACAUUACAUUGGUCUAAUCUAUUAUUUAAUAGAAGCAAUGUUAAUAUAAAUAACAUGAAAAUAUUCUCCACCGCAUAAGCUUACAUAAGACUGGAAUAACCCACUGACUGACGGUUAACAGCCAGAUAUUUUACAAUAAGCAUCCUAUUAUUUAUACUGUUAAUCCAACACAGGCAUGCUCUAAGGAAAUAUUACAAAAAGUAAAAGGAACUCGGCAAAUCUUACCCUACCUGUUUACCAAAAACAUCACCUCUAGCAUUACCAGUAUUAGAGGCACUGCCUGCCCAGUGACAUUUGUUCAACGACCGCCAUAUCCUGACCUUGCAAAGGUAACAUAAUCACUUGUUCCCUAAAUAGGGACUUAGAAGAAUGGCCACAUGAGGGUUCAGCUGUCUCUUACUUUUAAUCAGUAGAAUCUGACCUAUUGGUGAAGAGGAGCUUAUAAGCAAAUGAGAUGAGAAGACCCCAUGGCACUUUAAUUCAUUAAUGCAAAUAAAAACUCACAAAGCCUAUAGGCCUUAACCUACUAUCUCUGCAUUAAAAAUUUUGGUUGGGGUGACCUCAUAGCAUAUUCAACCUCCGAACAACCUAAACUAAGACCACAGUAGUCUAAGCUAGUUAAUACACAUUGACCCAAUAAUUUGAUCAACAGAACAAGUUACCCUAGGGAUAACAGUGCAAUCCUAUUCUAUCAUAUCAAUAAUAGGGUUUACGACCUCGAUGUUGGAUCAGGACAUCCUAAUGGUGUAGCCGCUAUUAAGGGUUCAUUUAUUCAACGAUUAAAGUCCUAUGUGAUCUGAUUUCAGACCGGAGUAAUCCAGGUUGGUUUCUAUCUGUUUAACAUUUCUCCUAGUACGAAAGGACAAGAGACAUACGGCCCACUUCA
rnacentral:rRNA from 1 species